UCUCUCGUAGCUUAGUGGUCAGAGCAUUGGCGCGUAAAGCCAAUGAGCCCGGGUUCGAUUCCCGGCGGGGGUG
rnacentral:tRNA from 1 species